rnacentral:rRNA from 1 species
GAUGAACGCUGGCGGCGUGCCUAAUACAUGCCAGUCGAGCGAACGGACGAGAAGCUUGCUUUUCGGAUGUUAGCGGCGGACGGGUGAGUAACACGUGGAUAACCUACCUAUAAGACUGGGAUAACUUCGGGAAACCGGAGCUAAUACCGGAUAAUAUUUUGAACCGCAUGGUUCAAAAGUGAAAGACGGUCUUGCUGCCACUUAUAGAUGGAUCCGCGCUGCAUUAGCUAGUUGGUAAGGUAACGGCUUACCAAGGCAACGAGGCAUAGCCGACCUGAGAGGGGGAUGGGCCAAACUGGAACUGAGACACGCCCAAGACUCCUACGGGGGGAGGAGGAAGGGAUUCUUCGGCAGUGGGCGAAGGCCUAACGGGGCAAGCCGGGGGGAGUGAUGAAGGUCUUCGGAUCGUAAAACUCUGUGAUUAGGGAAGAACAGAUGUGUAAGUAACUGUGCACAUCUUGACGGUACCUAAUCAGAAAGCCACGGCUAACUACGUG